rnacentral:rRNA from 1 species
UACGGAGGGUGCAAGCGUUGUCCGGAAUCACUGGGCGUAAAGGGCGCGUAGGCGGCUCAUGAAGGCUGUGGUGAAAGUCCGGGGCUCAACCUCGGAUCGGCCGUGGCGACUCGUGGGCUGGAGCACUGUAGAGGCGGGUGGAAUUCCGGGUGUAGCGGUGGAAUGCGUAGAGAUCCGGAAGAACACCAGUGGCGAAGGCGGCCCGCUGGGCAGUAGCUGACGCUGAUGCGCGACAGCGUGGGGAGCAAACAGG